rnacentral:rRNA from 1 species
CCCCUAGUAACUGCGAGUGAAGCGGGAAAAGCUCAAAUUUAAAAUCUGGCAGUCUUUGAUUGUCCGAGUUGUAAUCUAGAGAAGUGAUGCCCGCGCUGGACCGUGUACAAGUCUCCUGGAAUGGAGCGUCAUAGAGGGUGAGAAUCCCGUCUCUGACACGGACUACCAGGGCUUUGUGGUACGCUCUCAAAGAGUCGAGUUGUUUGGGAAUGCAGCUCUAAAUGGGUGGUAAAUUCCAUCUAAAGCUAAAUAUUGGCGAGAGACCGAUAGCGAACAAGUACCGUGAGGGAAAGAUGAAAAGAACUUUGGAAAGAGAGUUAAACAGUACGUGAAAUUGCUGAAAGGGAAACGCUUGAAGUCAGUCACGUUGGCUAGAAAUCAGCCUCGCUUCUGCGUGGUGUACUUUCUGGUUGAUGGGUCAGCAUCAAUUUUGACCACUGGAAAAAGACUUGGGGAAUGUGGCAGCUCCGGCUGUGUUAUAGCCCUUUGUCACAUACAGUGGUUGGGAUUGAGGAACUCAGCACGCCGCAAGGCCGGGUUUCGACCACGUUCGUGCUUAGGAUGCUGGCAUAAUGGCUUUAAGCGACCCGUCUUGAAACACGGACCAAGGAGUCUAACAUGCCUGCGAGUGUUUGGGUGGAAAACCCGGGCGCGUAAUGAAAGUGAAAGUUGAGAUCCCUGUCGUGGGGAGCAUCGACGCCCGGACCUGAACUUUUGUGACGGAUCCGCGGUAGAGCAUGUAUGUUGGGACCCGAAAGAUGGUGAACUAUGCCUGAAUAGGGUGAAGCCAGAGGAAACUCUGGUGGAGGCUCGUAGCGAUUCUGACGUGCAAAUCGAUCGUCAAAUUUGGGUAUAGGGGCGAAAGACUAAUCGAACCAUCUAGUAGCUGGUUCCUG